rnacentral:lncRNA from 1 species
GUUCAACAUAAUUUAGACUACAUAGAUGUAAGAUUAGUGAAGAUCUGAUCUGCAUCUCAGUACUUCAGUAGUUUUAUUCACUUAGGUAGAGAAAUCUUUAAAUCAAGCAACAUCAAACCUUUAACAUACACCUCGUCUCUUCCCUGCCAAGCAAUGUUUUUCUGUCAAUGAGUUUUUCUGCCUUUUUCUAGUAGCAAUCAAGUGAAAAAUCUUGGUCAAGCAAACAUAAGACUACUGGAAAAAAUAAAGAAGGAAUGAGUUGAUUGAUGUGAAAAAAGUUAGGUGUCAAAAGCCCUCUAGAGAAGAGGUGCAGGUGGAGAAGGAUCACUUUUGUCAAUGCCUGUCCAAAUAACAGCCUUACAACCUUCUCCCAGGAAAUGGAAGAAGGUGGUUCCUGGCUGUAUCUGCCAAACUUCAAUAUAUGUAGACAACAUGCAGCAUUACAUAAUUUGCAACAUUAAAGAAGAAAUAUAGAGGUGAAGAUAUUGUGCAAGAUGUCAGAAUGAAAAAGAAGUUUGAAGCUUUAUAUCCUUUCAAAGUGGGAAGACAAAAGAACAAGCAAUAAAACUGAGAGUUCAGAAAUUCCUGAAUUUGAC